UACGUAGGGGGCUAGCGUUGUCCGGAAUCAUUGGGCGUAAAGCGCGUGUAGGCGGUUCGGUAAGUCCGCUGUGAAAGUCGGGGGCUCAACCCUCGGAUGCCGGUGGAUACUGUCGGACUAGAGUACGGAAGAGGCGAGUGGAAUUCCUGGUGGUAGCGGUGAAAUGCGCAGAUAUCAGGAGGAACACCGAUUGCGGAAGGCAGCUCGCUGGGACGUUACUGACGCUGAGACGCGAAAGCGUGGGGAGCAAACGG
rnacentral:rRNA from 1 species